AUUGAACGCUGGCGGCAGGCCUAACACAUGCAAGUCGAACGAGUGGCGGGCGGGGGAGUAAUGUCUGGGAAACAGCCCGAUGGAGGGGGGUAAAUACUGGAAAAGGUAGAUAAUACCGCGUACCACAGGAUGUGCCCCGAUGGGAUUAGCUUGUAGGUGAGGUAACGGCUCACCUAGGCGACGAUCCCUAGCUGGUGUGAGAGGGUGAUCAGCCACACUGGAACUGAGACACGGUCCAGACUCCUACGGGAGGCAGCAGUGGGGAAUAUUGCACAAUGGGCGCAAGCCUGAUGCAGCCAUACCGCGUGGGUGAAGAAGGCCUUCGGGUUGUAAAGUCCUUUUGUUGGGAAAGCGGUACCCAAAGAAUAAGCACCGGCUAACUCCGUGCCAGCAGCCGCGGUAAUAC
rnacentral:rRNA from 1 species